AUUUUAGCUGCCUUAGGGUAUUUAUGGCACUGCAUCUAUGUAGUUGACAGAUAAGGCAUGACAACUGUGGCAAAGGUGCUCCUAUGUAACUUAUCCAACCUCCCAGUUCCUGUAUGGACAUUCCAUAAGUCCUUGGUCAAAUCUACCCAGUCCUCUGCAGACAGGAAGUUUCUGGAAGCAGCAGAAGGUAGAAUAAAAUAAGGAAAGGUAGAGAGA
rnacentral:lncRNA from 1 species